UGCCAGACUCCUACGGGAGGCAGCAGUGGGGAAUAUUGCACAAUGGGGGAAACCCUGAUGCAGCAACGCCGCGUGAGUGAAGAAGUCAUUCGUGAUGUAAAGCUCUAUCAGCAGGGAAGAAAAUGACGGUACCUGAGUAAGAAGCCCCGGCUAACUACGUGCCAGCAGCCGCGGUAAUACGUAGGGGGCAAGCGUUAUCCGGAUUUACUGGGUGUAAAGGGAGCGUAGACGGCCAGACAAGUCUGAAGUGAAAGGCCGGGGCCCAACCCCGGGACUGCAUUGGAAACUGCGAGGCUGGAGUGUCGGAGAGGCAGGCGGAAUUCCUAGUGUAGCGGUGAAAUGCGUAGAUAUUAGAAGGGACACCAGUGGCGAAGGCGGCCUGCUGGACGAUGACUGACGCUGAGGCUCGAAAGCGUGGGGAGCAAACAGGAUUAGAUACCCUUGUAGA
rnacentral:rRNA from 1 species